UCGAGUCCCACUGAGCCCGGCGCAUCGGCUCCCCGACCACGCUGCCGUGACUUAGCGGCAAUCCGUAGGCGGCGGAGGAAGCUCCUUGCGGCAGCGGAGACUGUUUUACCGGCUGGGGAGAGGCGGUUGACUUGGUGGACUUCUUGUCAUCGUCUACGCUUGAUUGCUUGGCUAGGAGAGGGCUCGAUUCCAUGGAAUUCGCCAUUGAGAAGUGAGAGAAAUGCAGAGAGAGACAGUGAGACAGAGAGAUUGGAAAGUGAGAGCGCGA
rnacentral:lncRNA from 1 species